rnacentral:rRNA from 1 species
AUUGAAGAGAGAAUGCCGGAAUGAGUAGCGAGAUGGAGGUGGGAAUCCUUCAGGCCGAAUAUCUAAGGUUUCCAGGGUAAAGCUGAUCUGCCCUGGGUAAGUCGGGGCCUAAGGCAAGGCUGAGAAGCGUAGCUGAUGGACAACAGGUUUAGAUUCCUGUACCACAUGGUAUCAGAACUGUGGGGACGCAGAGGGAUAAGAUGACCGGGGGACAGAUUCCCGGGCAAGCGCAGGAGGUGUCAGGCAGGCAAAACCGUCUGACAAGCCAAAGGCGUGACGCGGACCGAACUAAAGUAGGGAAGCAUCUGAUUCCAGCUGCCGAGGAAAGCCGCUAUUGUGUACCAUGUGCCCGUACCGUAAACCGACACAGGUGGAUGAGGAGAGAAUCCUAAGGCCGGCGGGAGAAGCAUUGUUAAGGAACUCGGCAAAAUGACCCCGUAACUUCGGGAUAAGGGGUGCCAGAGAGAUCUGGCCGCAGAGAAUAGGCUCAAGCAACUGUUUAGCAAAAACACAGGUCUAUGCGAAACCGUAAGGUGAUGUAUAUGGGCUGACGCCUGCCCGGUGCUGGAAGGUUAAGAGGAGAGGUUAGAGCAAUCGAAGCUUUGAAUUGAAGCCCCAGUAAACGGCGGCCGUAACGAUAACGGUCCUAAGGUAGCGAAAUUCCUUGUCGGGUAAGUUCCGACCCGCACGAAAGGCGUAAUGAUUUGAGCGCUGUCUCGACAAUGCACCCGGUGAAAUUGAAAUACCAGUGAAGAUGCUGGUUACCUGCGCCAGGACGGAAAGACCCCAUGGAGCUUUACUCCAGCUUGAUACUGGGACUCGGUAAUGCAUGCACAGGAUAGGUGGGAGGCUACGAGUACGGAACUCCGGUUUCGUAUGAGCCGCUGUUGGGAUACCACCCUUGCGUUACUGGGUUUCUAACCAUGGUCCAUGAUCUGGAUCGGGGACAAUGUCAGGUGGGGAGUUUGACUGGGGCGGUCGCCUCCGAAAGGGUAUCGGAGGCGCUCAAAGGUUCCCUCAGAAUGGUUGGAAACCAUUCGAAGAGUGCAAAGGCAGAAGGGAGCUUGACUGCGAGACCGACGGGUCGAGCAGGUAGGAAACUAGGACUUAGUGAUCCGGUGGUAUGAAAGUGGGAUUGCCAUCGUUCAACGGAUAAAAGCUACCCUGGGAUAACAGGCUUAUCACUCCCAAGAGUUCACAUCGACGGAGUGGUUUGGCACCUCGAUGUCGGCUCAUCGCAUCCUGGGGCUGAGGUAGGUCCCAAGGGUUGGGCUGUUCGCCCAUUAAAGCGGUACGCGAGCUGGGUUCAGAACGUCGUGAGACAGUUCGGUCCCUAUCCGGCGCAGGCGGAGGAUAUUUGAGAGGAGCUGUCCUUAGUACGAGAGGACCGGGAUGGACGGACCGCUGGUGUACCGGUUGAGCUGCUAAGCUCAUGGCCGGGUAGCCAAGUCUGGCAGGGAUAAACGCUGAAGGCAUCUAAGCGUGAAGCCCCCCUCAAGAUGAGAUAUCCCAUUCGAAAGAAGUAAGACCCCUUGAAGACGACGAGGUAGAUAGGGCAGAGGUGGAAGUGCAGUAAUGCAUGGAGCUGACUGUUACUAAUCGGUCGAGGGCUUAUC